ACCUGGCUGGCUCAGUGGGAAGAGCAUGCGAGUCUUGACCUUGGAGUUGUGGGUUCCAGUCCCACACUGGGUG
rnacentral:tRNA from 1 species